UAUCGAAUAUCCUUAUUGUUGUUAGAGGACAGUAAGGAAAGGAGCUUUGGCUUCGCCUAAGGAUCGGCCCGCGUACUAUUAGCUAGUUGGUGAGGUAACGGCUCACCAAGGCGACGAUAGUUAUCCGGCCUAAGAGGGUGAACGGACACAUUGGGACUGAGAUACGGCCCAGACUCCUACGGGAGGCAGCAGCUAAGAAUAUUCCGCAAUGGAGGAAACUCUGACGGAGCGACGCCGCGUGGAUGAUGAAGGCCGGAAGGUUGUAAAAUCCUUUUAAGCAAGAAGAAUAAACUUUACAGGGAAUGGUAGAGUGGUGACGGUAUUGCUUGAAUAAGCAACGGCUAAUUACGUG
rnacentral:rRNA from 1 species